CAUGUGGUUAAUUCGAAGCAACGCGAGAACCUUACCAGGUCUUGACAUCCCGAUGCUAUUUCUAGAGAUAGAAAGUUACUUCGGUACAUCGGUGACAGGUGGUGCAUGGUUGUCGUCAGCUCGUGUCGUGAGAUGUUGGGUUAAGUCCCGCAACGAGCGCAACCCCUAUUGUUAGUUGCCAUCAUUCAGUUGGGCACUCUAGCGAGACUGCCGGUAAUAAACCGGAGGAAGUGGGGAUGACGUCAAAUCAUCAUGCCCCUUAUGACCUGGGCUACACACGUGCUACAAUGGUUGGUACAACGAGUUGCGAGUCGGUGACGGCGAGCUAAUCUCUUAAAGCCAAUCUCAGUUCGGAUUGUAGGCUGCAACUCGCCUACAUGAAGUCGGAAUCGCUAGUAAUCGCGGAUCAGCACGCCGCGGUGAAUACGUUCCCGGGCCUU
rnacentral:rRNA from 1 species